GCACUGAUGAAGAGUCCCACAAUAGGACGAAACGGUCGUUCAGUGC
rnacentral:hammerhead_ribozyme from 1 species